UCUCUAUACAAUAACCACUUCACAGGAUCCCUCCCUCCCUCCAUAAGAAACCUUUCCAAGCUGACUUACUUAGAUUUAUCUGCAAACAACUUCACAAGAUCCCUCCCUCCCUCCAUAGAAAACCUUUCCAAGCUGACUCACUUAUAUCUAUCUAGAAACAACUUCACAGGAUCCCUCCCUCCCUCCAUAGGAAACCUUUCCAUGCUUAGUGAUUUGGAUCUAUCUGGAAACCACUUCACAGGAUCCCUCCCUCCCUCCAUAGGAAACCUUUCCAUGCUUAGUGAUUUGGAUCUAUCUGAAAACAACUUCACAGGAUCCCUCCCUCCCUCCAUAGGAAACCUUUCUAAGCUAACUCAAUUAUUGCUAUUUGAAAACCACUUCACAGGCUCCCUCCCUCCCUCCAUAGGAAACCUUUCCAAGCUGACUCACUUAUAUCUAUCUAGAAACAACUUCACAGGAUCCCUCCCUCCCUCCAUAGGAAACCUUUCCAUGCUUA
rnacentral:lncRNA from 1 species